rnacentral:rRNA from 1 species
UACGUAGGGUGCAAGCGUUGUCCGGAAUUAUUGGGCGUAAAGAGCUCGUAGGCGGUUCGUCACGUCGGCUGUGAAAUCCCGAGGCUCAACCUCGGGUCUGCAGUCGAUACGGGCGGACUGGAGUACUGCAGGGGAGACUGGAAUUCCUGGUGUAGCGGUGAAAUGCGCAGAUAUCAGGAGGAACACCGGUGGCGAAGGCGGUCUUCUGGAGCACUCUUGACGCUGAGGCGCGAAAGCUGGGGGAGCGAACGGG